rnacentral:rRNA from 1 species
UUGAAAGGGAAACGAUUGAAGUCAGCCAUGCCGGUGGGAACCAACUUAGGGGAAACUCUAGGUGCACUUCUUCGCUUGGCAGGUUAACGUCGAUCUUGAAUGCCAUAAAAUAAUUGGGGGAAGGUAGCUCCUUCGGGAGUGUUAUAGCCCUUGAUAGAUGUGAUGUUUGGGGUCGAGGAUUGCAACGGAUACCUUUUGGGGCUAGCCGCCUGAUCUCUAAUCGGUGUUGGGUUACGGAUAGCAUGCUGACCGUGAAUCUAAUUACUGGUUAAAAGGUUAGAGCGUGCAUAAAUUCGUUAAGGAUGUUGACGUA